rnacentral:SRP_RNA from 1 species
GCCAGGCAUGGUGGCUCAUGCCUGUAGUCCCAACUACUUGGAGGCUGAGGAAGGAGGAUCCCUUGAGCCCAGGAGGUUGAAGCUGCAGUGAGCCUUGAUUGUGCCACUGCACCACAGCUUGGACAACAGAGUGAGACCCUGUCUCUA